UACAGAGGUGCCAAGCGUUGUUCGGAUUUAUUGGGCGUAAAGGGUGCGUAGGCGGUUGUGCAAGUCGGAUGUGAAAUCCCGGAGCCUAACUCCGGAAUGGCAUUCGAAACUGCACGGCUCGAGGUCUGGAGAGGUGACUGGAAUCCUCGGUGUAGCAGUGAAAUGCGUAGAUAUCGAGAGGAACACCAGUGGCGAAGGCGAGUCCCUGGACAAAACCUGACACUGAGGCACGAAAGCUAGGGGAGCAAACAGG
rnacentral:rRNA from 1 species